rnacentral:rRNA from 1 species
GGGGGGAGCAAGCGUUGUUCGGAAUCACUGGGCGUAAAGGGCGUGUAGGCGGUUCGGUAAGUGGAAUGUGAAAUGCCCCGGCUCACCCGGGGACCUGCAUCCCAAACUGCCGAGCUUGAGUAUGGGAGAGGAUGAGGGAAUUCCUGGUGUAGCGGUGAAAUGCGUAGAUAUCAGGAGGAACACCGGUGGCGAAGGCGCUCAUCUGGCCCAAUACUGACGCUGAGGCGCGAAAGCUAGGGGAGCAAACGGGAUUAGAUACCCCGGUAGUCCUAGCCGUAAACGGUGAUCACUAGGUGUUGGAGGCAUCGACCCCUCCAGUGCCGCAGCUAACGCAUUAAGUGAUCCGCCUGGGGAGUACGGCCGCAAGGUUGAA